GGGCCGGUAGCUCAGCCUGGUAGAGCACCUGCCGGACAGAAAUAAAUGUCGGGGUGAAACUUUUAAUCAGGUGGUCGCGAGUCCGAAUGAAGCAGACAAUGCCUGGAAAUCUCGUCCGGCCCA
rnacentral:tRNA from 1 species